rnacentral:rRNA from 2 species
UCUCCUGGAAACGGGUGGUAAUGCCGGAUGCUCCGACUCCUCGCAUGGGGUGUCGGGAAAGAUUUCAUCGGUAUGGGAUGGGGUCGCGUCCUAUCAGGUAGUCGGCGGGGUAACGGCCCACCGAGCCUACGACGGGUAGCCGGCCUGAGAGGGCGACCGGCCACAUUGGGACUGAGAUACGGCCCAGACUCCUACGGGAGGCAGCAGUGGGGAAUAUUGCACAAUGGGCGCAAGCCUGAUGCAGCGACGCCGCGUGCGGGAUGACGGCCUUCGGGUUGUAAACCGCUUUUGAUCGGGAGCAAGCCUUCGGGUGAGUGUACCUUUCGAAUAAGCACCGGCUAACUACGUGCCAGCAGCCGCGGUAAUACGUAGGGUGCAAGCGUUAUCCGGAAUUAUUGGGCGUAAAGGGCUCGUAGGCGGUUCGUCGCGUCCGGUGUGAAAGUCCAUCGCUUAACGGUGGAUCUGCGCCGGGUACGGGCGGGCUGGAGUGCGGUAGGGGAGACUGGAAUUCCCGGUGUAACGGUGGAAUGUGUAGAUAUCGGGAAGAACACCA